CCUCACAAACCACACGUCUGCCCAGAACCAAAGCGUCACCGUAAACUUUAACGCCACAUCACUACACCUGGACUGAACAGCUGUAAGGUCUAAUGACUCUGGGGGAUCUGCACUGGACUGAACAGCUGUAAGGUCUAAUGACUUUGCCGUGCGCUCGUCCUCGUCUCUGCCCCAGACUGAUCAGCUGAAAGGUUUAUCAGCUCUGGUCCCAGUGUGAGCUCUGAUGUAUAAAUAAACCAGACAGUUACUGAGA